UCGCCUGUUUACAAAAACAUGUCUUUUUGUUUUUUAUAUAAAGUCAGGUCCUGCCCACUGAAUUUUAAAUGGCCGCCGUACUUUAACUGUGCAAAGGUAGCAUAAUAAUUUGUUUUUUAAUUGGAAACUAGUAUGAAUGGUCAUACGAGGGAUUGACUUUCUUUAUCUUACUUAAAUUAAUUUUAUUUUUCUGUGAAAAAGCAGAGAUUUCAUUAGUAGACGAUAAGACCCUUUAAAACUUUAUUCAUUAUAGAAGUAUAAUUUUGUUAGGUUUUAAUAGUGUACUUUUUUAAUGAGUUUUGUUGGGGCGACAGGUAAAUUUAUUUAACUUUUAUUUUUGUUUUUCUACUAAUUAGUGUUUAUUUGAUCCUAGAUUUAGUUUUGAUUAUAAGUUUAAGUUACUUUAGGGAAACAGGGUAAACAUGGAAUAAGUUACCUUAGGUACGCGUAA
rnacentral:rRNA from 1 species